rnacentral:rRNA from 1 species
AUUGAACGCUGGCGGCAGGCCUAACACAUGCAAGUCGAGCGAGCGGCGGACGGGUGAGUAAUGUAUGGGGACUGCCCGAUAGAGGGGGAUCACUACUGUAAACGGUGACGAAUACCGCAUACUAUCGGAUAACCCAUAUGGGAUUAGCUAGUAGGUGGGGUAAAGGCUCACCUAGCCGACGAUCUCUAGCUGGUCUGAGAGGAUGAUAAGCCACACUGGGACUGAGACACGGCAUAGAUUUCAAGGGAGGGAGCAGUGGCAAAUAUCGGACAAUGUGCGCAAGCCUGAUGAAGCCCUGCAGCGUAUAUGAAGAAGGCCUUAGGGUUGUAAAGUACUGUCAGCGGGGAGGCGUUACCCGGAGAAGAAGCACCUGCAAACUCCGGGCCAGCAGCCGCGGUAAUUC